rnacentral:rRNA from 1 species
UGGGGAACCUGCCCCAUAGUCUGGGAUACCACUUGGAAACAGGUGCUAAUACCGGAUAAGAAAGCAGAUCGCAUGAUCAGCUUUUAAAAGGCGGCGUAAGCUGUCGCUAUGGGAUGGCCCCGCGGUGCAUUAGCUAGUUGGUAAGGUAAAGGCUUACCAAGGCGAUGAUGCAUAGCCGAGUUGAGAGACUGAUCGGCCACAUUGGGACUGAGACACGGCCCAAACUCCUACGGGAGGCAGCAGCG